CAGCAGCCGCGGGAAUACGGAGGGAGCUAGCGUUAUUCGGAAUUACUGGGCGUAAAGCGCACGUAGGCGGCUUUGUAAGUUAGAGGUGAAAGCCUGGAGCUCAACUCCAGAAUUGCCUUUAAGACUGCAUCGCUUGAAUCCAGGAGAGGUGAGUGGAAUUCCGAGUAUAGAGGUGAAAUUCGUAGAUAUUCGGAAGAACACCAGUGGCGAAGGCGGCUCACUGGACUGGUAUUGACGCUGAGGUGCGAAAGCGUGGGGAGCAAACAGGAUUAGAUACCCCAGUAGUCCCUGUCUCUUAUAC
rnacentral:rRNA from 1 species